AUACGUAGGGUGCGAGCGUUGUCCGGAAUUACUGGGCGUAAAGAGCUCGUAGGAGGUUUGUCGCGUCGUCUGGGAAAUUCCGGGGCUUAACUCCGGGCGUGCAGGCGAUACGGGCAUAACUUGAGUACUGUAGGGGAGACUGGAAUUCCUGGUGUAGCGGAGAAAUGCGCAGAUAUCAGGAGGAACACCGGUGGCCAAGGCGGGUCCAUGGGCAUUAACUGACGCUGAGGAGCGAAAGCUUGGGGAGCGAGCAGGAUUAGAUUCCCUGGUUGUCCAUGCCGUAGGCGGUGGGCGCUGGGUGGAGGGGGCUUCCGCGACUUCUGUGCCAUAGCUAACGCAUUAUGCGACCCGGCUGGGGAGUACGGCCGCAAGGCUAAAACUCAAAGUAAUUGACGGGA
rnacentral:rRNA from 1 species